rnacentral:rRNA from 1 species
GAUGAACGCUGGCGGUAUGCUUAGCACAUGCAAGUCGAACGGACUCUUCGGAGUUAGUGGCGGACGGGUGAGUAACGCGUGAGAAUCUGGCUUUGGGUUCGGGACAACCACUGGAAACGGUGGCUAAUACCGGAUGUGCCGAGAGGUAAAAGAGAAAUUGCCUGAAGAUGAGCUCGCGUCUGAUUAGCUAGUUGGUGAGGUAAAGGCUCACCAAGGCAGCGAUCAGUAGCUGGUCUGAGAGGAUGACCAGCCACACUGGGACUGAGACACGGCCCAGACUCCUACGGGAGGCAGCAGUGGGGAAUUUUCCGCAAUGGGCGAAAGCCUGACGGAGCAAUACCGCGUGAGGGAAGAAGGCUCUUGGGUUGUAAACCUCUUUUCUUAGGGAAGAACAAAAUGACGGUACCUAAGGAAUCAGCAUCGGCUAACUCCGUG